AUUCAUACCUACCGACUGGAAUUGGUUUCAUGGUGGUAUCAGAUGGGUUGAUGUAGGUGUACGGUAACCGAUGGUUACCUUGCUCACAUUAUCUCGUCUGCCAAGGUGUUUCGGCAGGAAAAGCCUUGGCAGACUUAUAUAUUCCUGACAUGAGGGUUCAUACCUACCGACUGGAAUUGGUUUCAUGGUGGUAUCAGAUGGGUUAAAUUAGGGGUCCCGGUGGCCACCUUUGAGAGCGUCUGCCAAGCACUUCCGGCAAUAAAAAUACUGGCAGACUUCGCUUUUCUGUGUCUACAUGUAAAUUUCUAACUGCUGCCAUAACUAUUAUUUCGGUAUCAGAUGGGUUAAAUCAGCCCCCUUUUUUCGCACCGGAAGUGGCCUUCUUUUUCGUACUUUCGGCAAGUUCCGCCGUGGCAGACUAUCGAAUUUGGACUUAGCAUCACUUUUAUGGGAAACCAUUGUGCAUUUCAUCGUGGUAUCAAGUCGGUUAGAAAAUUUGCGGCCGGCUCUUCUACUAGAAGAUCUUGGAGAGCCAUUUCGUUUCGCUAAUGAUCGCGGUUAAGCUCACCGCAGACGCAACGGAAUUCCGGAUCAGGUAUGAAACCACUGACACACUGCUCCCGGAAAUCCGUUAUACCCGCGGUGAACCACCAGUCUCUGAAUUUUAGUAGCCGAUCAAAAUCGAAGUCUGUCGAGGAGUUUAAUGUAACCAAAUGUAACAUUGCAAUGAAAAACUUCGUAAAAAUGACUCUCCGAGCAAAUACAAAGGAAUACCAACGAAGGCAAAUUCAAAGGGCUGUCCGCUAAAAUGAGAAAUUAAUAAAUAUAAUUCACCUCUCGUUCGGUAUAUAUAGCUCCAGCAACGCUCGAUAUGAGGCAUAUUUGAUUUAUGUUUCAAAUAACUGUUGCAUUCUACUUCUUUUUUGUUAAUUGUCCUAAUAUUUGUAAUAAAUAACCUUAUCCAUUUUUCUCUCAAUGUUGUUAAAACGUGAGCACCUAAACCAUAAAUACAAAUAUUAAAUAUGUAGAUGUAAAUGUUUCACAUACAACUUGUAAAAAUCAACAUGUAUGCUGUCACUAAUUGCAGACAAAAGUUCCAGUUCCAUGCCUAAUAAAUACAACGUGUUGUAUUCUGUAACGUUGAAGUAAAUUAAUUGUUGAUUAUUGUAAUUCACUAUUGUCUGUUAAUAUUUAACAUCCUAAUAAACAUAUUGGAAAUA